rnacentral:rRNA from 1 species
GACGAACGCUUUCUGGAGGCCUAACACAUGCAAGCCGAGCGGGAUUGGCUCCCCCGAAAUGACAGAGCGGCGCACAGGGGCGGAACCAUGGGCCCCCGCCUUCACGGGGGGAUAGCGCUUUCCAAAGGAAGACUAAUACUCCGUAAUACAUUGAACGGCAUCGCUAAAUAUUGAAAGCUCCGGGGGAUACAGAUGGGCACGCCCAACAUUAGCUAGAUGGUGAGGAAACGGCUCACCAACGCGAUGAUCUAUAAGGCGCCUGAGAGGGUGAUCCCCCGCACUGGAACUGAGACACGGACCAAACUCCCACAGGAGGCCGCAUCGAAGAAUGUUGCUCACUGGGAGCGAGCCUGAACCCACCCUCCCGCGUGAAGGACCACUGCCCUAUGGGGUGAAAACUUCUUUUGUAUAGGGACAAACCUACCCUCGUGAGGAGAACGGAACGUGACUAUACGAAUAAGCACCGGCUAACUCCCUGCCAGCACCCGCAGCAAUACAGAGGGGUGCAAGCGUCACCCGGAUUUAUUGCGCUUAAAGGCUCCGUAGGCGGACUGUAUAAGUCAGAUGGUGAAAGCCUGCCCCCUAUGGAGAGAACUGCCAUUGAUACUGUUCGCUCUUGAGGUAUAUUUGAGGUAGCUGGAAUACGUGGGGUAGCGGCGAAAUGCAUAAAUAUUACUUAAAACACCACUUGCAAAGGCAGGCUACCGAUAUAUAACUGACCCUGAGGGACAAAAGCUGUGGGAGAGCGAACAGGUAUUAAAUCCCCGUGGUACCCGCGCCGAAAACAAUGCUGACUCCUUUUUGGCCUUCUAGGGUUCAAAGACCAAUCAAAAGUGAGUAAGUUAGCCACCUGGGGAGUACCCUCGCCAGAGUGAAACUCACAGGAAUGGGCGGGGGCCCGCACUAGCCGGGGAUUAUGUGGUUUAAUUCAAUGAUACGCUAGGAACCUUACCACGACUUAAAUGGGAGUGGGCAGCCUUAGAAAUAGAGCUUUCUUCGGACAAUUUUCAAGGUGCUGCAUGGUUGUCCGUCAGCUGGUGCCUUGAGGUGUUACGCUAAGUCCUGCAACGAGCGCAACCCCUGUCACUAGUUGCCAUCCUUCAUUUGGGGACUCUCGCGAGACUGCCUCCGCAAGUAGAGAGGAAGGUGGGGAGGACGUCAAAUCUUCGCGGCCCCUACGUGGUGGGCCCCACACGUAAUACACUGGCCGGUACAGAGGGCAGCUCCACACCGAUGGGGGGCAAGUCUCGAAAGCCGGUCUCAGUUUGGAGUGGAGUCUGCACCUCGACUGUACGAAGCUGGGAUCGCUAGUGAUCGCGCGUCUCCCAGGGCGCGGGGAAUUCGUUCCCGGGCCUU